rnacentral:rRNA from 1 species
CGGGAAUUGGAAAACUCCCUAAACCAUUGUGAACGUUACCUAAACCGUUGCUUCGGCGGGCGGCCCCGGGCGUCUCUCCCCGGGCGCCCCUGGGCCCCAUCGCGGGCGCCCGCCGGAGGUCACCAAACUCUUGAUAAUUUAUGGCCUCUCUGAGUCUUCUGUACUGAAUAAGUCAAAACUUUCAACAACGGAUCUCUUGGUUCUGGCAUCGAUGAAGAACGCAGCGAAAUGCGAUAAGUAAUGUGAAUUGCAGAAUUCAGUGAAUCAUCGAAUCUUUGAACGCACAUUGCGCCCGCCAGUAUUCUGGCGGGCAUGCCUGUUCGAGCGUCAUUUCAACCAUCAAGCCCCCGGCUUGUGUUGGGGACCUGCGGCUGCCGCAGGCCCUGAAAAGCAGUGGCGGGCUCGCUGUCACACCGAGCGUAGUAGCAUACAUCUCGCUCUGGGCGUGCUGCGGGUUCCGGCCGUUAAACCACCUUCAUAACCCAAGGUUGACCUCGGAUCAGGUAGGAAGACCCGCUGAACUUAAGCAUAUCAAUAAGCGGAGGAA